rnacentral:lncRNA from 1 species
CAUUUUUGUAAACCAUAUUUUGAUACUUCACCUGAAGUAUCUAUAAAGGUCUGGAUAUCAAGGAAGGCAAUGCAUCAAAGGGUUUCCAAGCAACUCCUAUAAACCUAAUACACAUUUCACUAGACUUAAAGUGUGCAAAAAUUAUUUAAAAACACAAGGAAGGGGUUGCAUGCACCGGGGCUUGCCUGGGAUAAACACUACGUUAGUGUUUGUUAGGCGUCGAUCACUUGACGACCAUCCUUUGUCCCGAUACUUGCUUCGUCUGUCCAUCUCCAGUUCCAUUCAUCAGCACCAUCUUAUGGUCGACUCAGUUAUGGUUCUCCGCAUCGCGUGGUUAAUUCACGUACCUGAAUGAAAUGCAUUAUGCACAUGAAUGCAUAUAGACCGGAAUAUUUCAAACCUAAAUAUUACUACGCGAUAGCGAAUUAAACACCUAGCGGCGAGGCGUUGUACAAUUUUAUACCAAAAACACUAGUUAUUAAUAUACGACUACACGUAAUAAUUACGCUUCUCGAACCUAACGCAAACAUCACGAACAACAAACUAUACACAUGAAAUACAAUUAGCCUAAUCACAACUUAUCAAUUAAUUAAUUAAAUUCUAAACUUAUCCCUUAUUUUAUAAAUUACACUACAUCUUUAUAAGUGAUUAAAAUAUUUCAUCAGCACACAUGUCUACUAAAAUUCUACUCGGGACACUAAUUCAACUAAUUGACCGGAAUAGCGAAAUAACUCGCUAUAACUGAACCUGGCUCAAUAAUCACAAAAACUGCGAAGUCGACUAGAGGUUCGUGACUUACACAAUUUAUCGAGCACCCUAAUGAGCCUCACACUAACACAUUAACUUAUUCAACGAUCGGACUAUACUGAAUAAUUUAUCGGCUUACCGUUUCCACAGCUGACAUGAAUCCAUGAGAUCGGUAGCGAUUUUUCCGAUUCAGGCAAUUUGUCGAGCGCUUGGGGAAUACCGCGCUGCUAGUUUCGUCUUCAUCCAAUCCUUGGGAUUCCUCGAUGACGCACGGAAUGACGACAAUCUUCGAUUGAAGUCUUGGACCGAGUACUUGAUAAGCGAUGCACAGGGACCUCGCUUAUUUUUGUCUAAAGUCCGGGAUUCGUGGUCAACGAGAUCGAGCAGAGAAGAAUGAGGUUCGCUGGGCUCGACGAUGAUACGAGAGAGUGACAUAUAUGGAGCUGUAGGUCUGGCGAGGUGACGCAAGGCAUCAUAGCUGCUGCUUCGACAUGAAUUACUUGCUGCCGAGCAUGACGGAAGCCGGGGAGCUGCCGACGGUCGGCCCGAGAACGACGACGGAGCAGCGGACGGACGAGCAGGAAAACAUUAGAGAAAGGGAUCACGCCGGUCAAUAGAAAAGCGCGCGGCGAGCAUCAGGGAAACGAACGAGCGGCUGCCAUGGGAGGGACUCCGAGCGAGGGAAAAACUGCGCGCGGGUAAGGAGGCCUCGGCACAGCGGCCAUGGCCGGACAGAGAGGGGAUGGGACGGCGCGCAGACUAGGCGAGUAGAGAAGAGUGGCUGAGCUGGGUGAGCUCAGACCGGCGAGCAGAACAGAGGGCAGGGCGCGGCAGCCUGGAAGAAAUAACACAGUCCGAGCGCCGGCCAUGGAGAGACCUCGGCAGGACGCUCUCCCAUGGGAGAUACAGGGAGAUGGGAACUCGAGUUGUAGGGAGCUCCGGUCGGGCUAGGGAUUGGGCGAGCUGCACAGCCGGGAGCUCCAUGGGUGGGAGAAGGAGCGCUCGGCUGGCCGGACUGGAAAAGAGAAGAACAGGGGCGCCAUGGCUGGAUGCGAGAAAGAGCAGAGAGAGUGCUCAGCUGGGAGAAUGACGACGGUAAAAGUCCUAGCAGCAGAUAAGAAGAGACGGCAGGAAUUUCAACAGAAGAACAGCGGUGGAAUUUUCUUUUGCUUUCCAGAAUACAGCGACGCGGCAUAUCAGAUGGAAGAGAGAAAGCGGUGGAGAGAUAAGGCGAGGGAAGGGAGAUGUACGCAUGGGAUUUUUGAAGAAGAGCCUGCACGCUAGAUAAGGCUGAGCGGCCAGCAACUUCAACAAAAAUCAGAGCGAUGAAAUAUCAGAGUGGAGGAUAGGAACGCAGAGAAGAUUUUCCUUCCGUGCGUGGAUGAGAACGAAGACUAGAAAAAUCUGCGUAGCGUACGUGAGGAGAUA